CUCAAUAGAGCCGUAGAGGGACUCCGAGGCUUCUCGAGCUGGAGGUAGGUCUCUGACAACUGACACAGGUAGCGGUGGAGUCAACGGUGGGGAUAGGCACUCCCUUGCAAAUUUGAUGAAAAUGUUACAGACCUCGAGCGGUGUUCGUGCUGACAUGGCGAAGGCAUAAGAGCGACGGCAACUAGAGGCUUAAAGGAAUUAGGGUGGUUUAGGGAAUUUGGGCUUGGACUUAGGUAGUUGGGUAUUUAAGUUUUUUCUUUUCUUGCAAAUGGACUGUUUUUUUUAUUGGACUUUAUUAUUUUUUGUUUUAACCUAGUUUUUUUGUUUUA